rnacentral:rRNA from 1 species
UGCGAAGGGGGCUAGCGUUGCUCGGAAUCACUGGGCGUAAAGCGCACGUAGGCGGAUUGCUAAGUCAGGGGUGAAAUCCUGGAGCUCAACUCCAGAACUGCCUUUGAUACUGGCGACCUUGAGUCCGGGAGAGGUGAGUGGAACUGCGAGUGUAGAGGUGAAAUUCGUAGAUAUUCGCAAGAACACCCGUGGCGAAGGCGGCUCUCUGGGACGGUACUGACGCUGAGACGCGAAAGCGUGGGGAGCGAACAGG